CAGGGAUUGCCUCAGUAACGGCGAGUGAAGCGGCACCAGCUCAGAUUUGGAAUCUGGCCCUACUUGUGGGGCCCGAGUUGUAGUCUGGAGAGGAUGCUUUGGGGGACGAUCGGGCCCAAGUUCCUUGGAACAGGGCGUCAGAGAGGGUGAGAGUCCCGUCUGUGGCCUGAGCCUGUCCUCUGCGUGAAGCUCCCUCGACGAGUCGAGUUGUUUGGGAAUGCAGCUCAAACCAGGUGGUAAAUCUCAUCUAAAGCUAAAUACCCGCCAGAGACCGAUAGCACACAAGUAGAGUGAUCGAAAGAUGAAAAGCACUUUGAAAAGAGAGUUAAACAGCACGUGAAAUUGUUGAAAGGGAAGCGCUCGCGAUCAGACUUGCCCGUGGUUCCUCAGUUGAUGGGAGACCACCGACGCAAUGGACCGUGGGCAGGCCAGCAUCGGCCCAGGCAGUGGGAGAAGGACCCUGGGAAUGUGGCUCCCUUCGGGGUGCGUUAUAGCCUGGGGUGUGACGCCACCGCCUGAGCCGAGGCCCGCGCUACGGCAAGGAUGCUGGCGUAAUGAUCGCCAGCGACCCGUCUUGAAACACGGACCAAGGAGUCUAACAUCCACGCGAGUGUUUGGGUGUCAAACCCCGGCGCGCAAUGAAAGUGAACGGAGGUGGGAAUCCAUAGGGAUGCACCAUCGACCGAUCCUGAAGUCUACGGAUGGAUUUGAGUAUGAGCGUGGCUGUUGGGACCCGAAAGAUGGUGAACUAUGCCUGAAUAGGGUGAAGCCAGAGGAAACUCUGAUGGAGGCUCGCAGCGGUUCUGACGUGCAAAUCGAUCGUCAAAUUUGGGUAUAGGGGCGAAAGACUAAUCGAACCAUUGGUGGAGAGCACCCUCUGGAGUGCACUCUUCUGCUGCUAGGUGGUUGAGAGGCGGCCUAAGUUGCUGCCUAGUCGCCCGAUUGGGGAGGCAACACCGCCAAAUUGCGGGAACGCCCUUAGAGCUCAAGUGACCGCUCCUCUUGUCGAAAGCUGGGAUGUGCACCACGGUUAAUUGCCGCGGAUAAGGUAAAAUCGCUUGAGAUUGGGUAAUCCGCAGCGUGGUCCUGCUGGUGCUUGGGCACCAACGGAUGACGUUCACAGACUAGAUGGUGGUGGGUGGAUCGUAUGCCUGAAAGAUCUGCUUAAGAUAUAGUCGGGCCACCGGGAAACCCGGCUGGGUGUGAGUGCUAGUAGCUGGUUCCUGCCGAAGUUUCCCUCAGGAUAGCAGUAACGUGUGGCAGUUUUAUGAGGUAAAGCGAAUGAUUAGAGGCCUUGGGGUUGAAACAACCUUAACCUAUUCUCAAACUUUGAAUAUGUAAGAAGUCCUUGUUGCUUGGUUGAACGUGGACACUCGAAUGUACCGUUACUAGUGGGCCAUUUUUGGUAAGCAGAACUGGCGAUGCGGGAUGAACCGAACGCGGGGUUAAGGUGCCGGAAUGCACGCUCAUCAGACACCACAAAAGGUGUUGGUUCAUCUAGACAGCAGGACGGUGGCCAUGGAAGUCGGAACCCGCUAAGGAGUGUGUAACAACUCACCUGCCGAAUGAACUAGCCCUGAAAAUGGAUGGCGCUCAAGCGUGCUACCCAUACCCCGCCGCCAGGGUAGGAACGAUGCCCUGGCGAGUAGGCAGGCGUGGGGGUC
rnacentral:rRNA from 1 species